rnacentral:rRNA from 1 species
UACGGGGGGAGCAAGCGUUGUUCGGAUUUACUGGGCGUAAAGGGCGCGUAGGCGGUCAGCACAAGUCAGUUGUGAAAUCUCCGGGCUUAACUCGGAAAGGUCAACUGAUACUGUGCGACUAGAGUGCAGAAGGGGCAACUGGAAUUCUCGGUGUAGCGGUGAAAUGCGUAGAUAUGCGGAGGAACACCGAUGGCGAAGGCAAUCUCCUGGGCCUGCACUGACGCUCAUGCACGAAAGCGUGGGGAGCAAACAGG